ACCCUCUGCAGAGGUCGCACACUUUACCCACAAGUCGUGAUUCCCAUUCUGCCCGGAGAUCAUGACUCUCCAUUGAUCACUACCAAGGUGACCUAGCAGGGUCUCACUAAGUAGCCUUUACAAAGAUUACUUAGAGGUCAUAGCCGCCCGUUAGGUUUCUCCAGUUUGAUAAACACAGUACCUCUCCCCGAAGGAGGGUGACUAACAAAAGCAAAACGAAAGAACCUCGGCACCCAGCCUCGGCAGAGCAAGCACUGUGCCUGGACCCCAUUGACGGCACGACGGCGAAGCAACUACACCUCUAGUUCCUCUAAUUAAUUAGCUAAGGGCAUCCCAUUUCACCCUCAUGGUUGCACUGUUAUCCCGGGUGGUCUCUCAACGAACAGGUCCUUACGGAGAGGUACUCGGGAAACAGCCCGAGUCCCCUAAAUGCCACAAGUAUAUCAUCAUGUCCAGAAUAAAAUCAUAGUAUCAUCAUUGUAUCUCAUCAUGUUCAUUGAUUAAAGUAAAGCAAUAGCAUGAAGCUAACCAUAGUAGCCCAAAAGGUAAUCAAGGGUGAGGUAAAUACAAAGCUAGUCAAUCCUUAAGUUGAUCAUGGUAUGCGGUUGAUGAAUUAUAAAGUAAAUGGGACAUAAUAGGUCAGAGGACACUUGCCUUCAAACAGAUGCUCAGGGUCUUCGAUCUCGUAGAACUCGAAGAGCUAGAUCACUUGGUCGCCGAAGCUUGACCGUCGAUUCCUCGAAGCUCAGGAACAGAUCGCGAUCUAAUCGCAACACGAAGCGAAGACGAACAAGCACAAGCAAACAAACAUAUAUAAAUACAUAAGAACAUUACACCAUACAAGAUAAAUUGAUAUAAAAAUAUGUAGCAUAAAAUAGAGCCCGAUUCUAUGGUCACGCGAGGGAAAGAAAUGUCGAACUCGAAGCGACGGUCGGGAAAAUAUCGCGUUUACGCUAAACAAGUAUUAACGCUAACAAUUAAUUCGACCUUAUCAAUUAUAAAUUAUAUCUACUAUUUAGUUUGAUUAAUCUGCUACACUAACAACUGUCAAAUAAAUAAGUAAUUUAAUUAACACAAGAGAUUCUAAGCGGGACGAAUUUAUGACAAGCGAAACAACACGACAGCGUGCAAACGACGCGCGGACACGCGCGACACAGCACGCUGACGACACACGAAAUAGUGCGCACGACCAGCGCUAACGAUGCGCGAACCGGCACGAAUCAGCACGCAACCACGAGCCCACCAUGCACGAACAACGCGCAGACAGCACGUGAACGACGCGCGAAGCAGCACGCCACUGCGCGGAACAGCACCCGCGACAGACGAGAAUAACUGAUCAGGUGACACAUUUAUACUAAACACCUAUUAAAUAAAUAAAAACAAGUUAAGAUAAUACUAGCCACGUUAAAUGCUAAUUACAACCUUAAAAGUAAUCAGAUUAUAUUUACAAACCUUGCAUAGGACCUGCUACAUUUAAGUAGUAAAUCUUGAAAGGCAUGACACGCAAAGAUCGUAAUGAUAUCGUUUUUAUGCUAAGUGGGUAUUAACUAUAAUACUUAUUUUCAGCAUGAUCAUAUUAGUAGGCAUUUAUAAAAUAUAAAUUAACGCAACUGCUUAGUCUCAAUUAUUUUAAUACUCUAAUAGUUAAUAGCUACACAGGUGAUCAAUUAACAUGAAUGAUCAUAAGCGAAAACAAUUUAAUAACGCGUGAAAGACGCGUGACGACACGCGACACUAUGCGAAACAGCGUGCAAACGGCACGCGGAAUAAUGCACACGACAGCGCGUGACACGUACGAGUCAACGCGACUACGCACACGAACAGCACGAUGUCACACAAACGAUGUCGUGCGCGAACAACAAACAAAUAAUUAAUGAAAAGUAUUUCGGUUGGUAUUAAUCACGUUAACUAACAUUUAUUUAUAAAAGCGCGAGUUAAAGCUAUAAAACAAUUUUAAUUAGAAGGCCGUUUUAAUAAGUAUGGAAUGAAUAGCUAAUUAAACAAUAUAGACUUGUGACAUGUUAGAAUACAUUACUAAUACGAAAUCAACGCGACUGAACACUUAAUUUAGAACGAACACAAUAUGCCGCAGCGCUAAUCGAUAUCAUGUCUAUACUAACCAAACAUAAACGAAAACGCUUCGGAUUGACACAACUACCUUAAUAGCUAUCGAUGAAGCGCGUAAUUAAAAUUACAAGUUCGUUUUCGGUCGAAUUGUUAUUUUAAUCACCGAACAACCAAUUACUACUUAAUUAUUUAAUAUGCACCCAGUGGCGAAACGAUUUUACCAAAACGUGCAACUAGCGAUUUGCGUGAACGACACGCGAAUCAACACGUAACCACGGGCAGAACCGCGCGUACGAUACGCGAGAUAAACUAAAUAAACGUCGCAUUUACAUUAAACUAAAUAUUAAUCGCGUCGACACGCAUUUAUAAAGCGCAAGUGAAUAACUAUAAAUUAGUUAAAUUAAAAAGUCUAAUUAAUUAACGUUAGUUAAACAAAAACGUGAGGCAUGGCGGAAAAAUGCUACUAACGCGUAGAGGAUGCUCACCUAGAUGCGGACAUGGACGGCGCAACGGGCUCCAGCGAGGCCGUGGGUGACGACGGGGCGAGCUCGCGACGGGUGGUGAACGGAGACGACGCAGCGAACCGUUGCGCAGCAAGGCGAGGCGCGACGGAAGGCGGCAUAACGCGGCAACGACGUAGAGGCAGGGCGUGGCCUGGGCACGCAGGCCAGGGGACAGACGACGGCGAGCUGCUUAGAGCGGACGUCUGGUUCGACAAAGAUGGUCGCGGUUGGGGCGUGCGCGGCGAGAGCUUCCUGCGUGGCCGUGGCCUCCGGCGACCAGGGCUAGGACGAGCACGAACGCCGCGACGGCGAUGGGGAAUCCGCGCCUGGGGCUGCCGGUGUGCUCGCACAGACCCUUGCCGCGCAGGGGUCGAGACAGGGAGUGUUGAACCUCCAUGGCUGCUCGGUCAAUGUGUUGAUGGAGGUCGGAUGGGGCCGAGCAGCAGAAAAGCGAGACAAGGCGAGGGGAGGAGAGAGGGAGGAAGAAGGUGCUAUGCGCGGCUGCGAGUUGGCGACGUGGGCGCAGGGACUCGGACGGUUGGAGAAGACGUGCCCUGGCGGCCAGAGAACGAGCAGCGGCUGCGCGAGCGGCUGGGCGACCUGUUCUGCGCGCGCGAGCUGGGCUUGCUGGGAGCGCUGGCGAGCAGGCCUGGCGGCCUGGGCGUGGGCGAGCGCCCCUGGCGCGCGAGCUGGGCCACGGUGGGGGGCUGCACCAGCGGCUGGGCUGGGGCGCGAGUUCUGGCCGCGCAAGGGGGGAGCGGGGUGGGCCGCGCAAGAGGCGCGCUAAUGGGCCGGCUGGGGGCGCGCGAGCAGCGCAGGUGGCGCGCUGGGCCGCGGGGGGGGAAGAGAGGCUGCCACGGCUGGGCCAAGCGGGCGCGGGCCCAGGAAGGGGAAGAGGGGGAGGAUGGGCUGGCUAGAGGGUUUGGGCUCCUUCCUUUCUUUUCCAUUUUCUUCUUUUUCUUGAUCUUUUCUAUUAUUCCCAUUCAUAUUUAUACACAAGAAGAGCUACAAAAAAUAAAUGGAUACACACCAAGACAAUACGUCAAACAGAAAGCAAAUGCACUCCACAUACAAAAUAAUAUAUGCUCCGACAUGAUGCAACAAUCAAAGCACCUCUAGGGUUUUAUUUUACUAGGCUUACAUAUAUAAAACAAAAUAACUCUCCACUAAUUGGAAAAAGAGUAGAAAAGAGGGAAAGAAAUAGGGUAACACCUGAAUUUGGUGGAUAUUAGAAAAAAUAAAUUUUACACCCCAAAUUCAGGGUGUUACAAAUCUAACCCCCUUAACAGAAUCUCGUCCUCAAGAUUCAAGAAGAGGCUAGCAGGAAAAUGAGAUUGGUUCAUUAGUCUUUCAUAGCUUUUUCUAACUCAACUUUGACUCCGCCGGCUUGACUUGUGGAUUGGUUGCUUUGACCAUCAGAUGCUCGAGACCGAUUGAUGCAAUUCUUGAGGAUCUCCUGGACCUGUGGGUUAGGACCCACACACGCUUUCGCUGCGCCAAUCUGAUCUUGUUGGUUGAUGUUGAUUGCAUUGUCUUCAUUGGGGUUAGCGGCUAACCCCUUUAACAAGAGCAUUGAUACAUACUUGAUGAAGAUGUUGCUGACUCUGAUCUUGACUGAUUUGGAGGAGUUGGAGGUUGCCAAAAGGACAGGUGCAAGAGGAAAGAAUAACGAGAAAAGGUAAGUAUAGACAGAUUAGAGAGAGCAGGGGGAGAACCCAACUACUUAACUCUAUGGCACUCACCUAGUAAACAGAUUCCAUUACGGUCCAAGGGCCACAACACAUCAACACUCAUUCCAAAGAAGCAAAUCAAUCAUAGCAGAAGGACAAACAUCAUGAGCACACAUCAACAAACAUCUCGUUGAUAUACGUUCCUUUUAAUUAAAUGGUGGUCUUUCCUUAAAAAAAAGGGAAACUACUCUACGGCCAACAAAAGGCAAGGGGAAUAAUAAGACAUGGAGGCUAGGGGCAUGAGCAUAAUAAAGGAUGGAGCUAAAGCAAUGAUUGUAACCGACAAGGGAGAGAAUGCAACCAAGGUCAGGAUAGGUAAAACACCAUUCUCAAUUCGAGAUGGGAAAGAUGAUAAUUCAAAAGGUAAGCAUACAAUAAGCAUCAUGGAAAGAUCUAGUGAUUACCAAGGUAAAGGAGGUAACAGGCAAAAGCACACCAAAGGAUCAAGUUAAGACAAGACUUGCAACGCGAUAGAGGAAAGGGAACGAACCAAGGCGGGGAGGGGUAAGACAACACUUGUAAGGUGACAAGGAGUAAAAAUAAUUCAAGGGAGAGAUAGGUAACUCACAGCCUCAAACUUGCUUGAAGGAAAGGGGAGGCUUUUAAAGAUGUGUUCAAGGUAAGCAUUUAGGUAGAAGACAUCAAUAUCGCAAGGUUCAAAGGCGACAGACAAGGGUAUAUGGGGAAAGAUGAAGGCAUUGGAGAGCCAGUGGUAUGAGUACAACAAAGAAUGGAGUUGCACCCAUGCUUACACGCGGUAAAGAAGAGGAUGUAGCCAAGAGUGAGGUAAGUAAAACACCGCUCUCAAAUUGAGAUAGGAGAUUGGAGAUUUUAGAUAACGGACAUAAUGUAAUCACAAGGUAUGAUAGAGUGAUGAGAGAGUAAAUGAAGUAAUAAACAAAAACCCAACAAACGAUAGAGUUAAAAACUCACAGGUGACAAAGAAGAGGAUACGACCAAGGGAAAAAUAGGUAAAGUACAAUGCUCAGAUUGAGAUGGAAAAGAGGAUAUUUUAAAGGCCGGUAUAAGAUAAACAACAAGGUAAGAUAUAGGGGUGACAAGGAUAAAGGUGAUAAUGAUGAAAACAUAAUCCAUGGACAGAGUUAAGACAGGACUUGUUGAGGGACGAAGUGAAGAAAACAAUCAAGGAUAAGAUAAGUGAGGUUCCGACAGAAGAGUUGAAAUAAAAAUUCAUUACCGAAGGAAGUUACAAGGGAUCAAUGAGAUCACCAAGGAUGUGCGAAAUAAAAUGAAUGCUCAUGGAUCAUCGAGAAACAAGGGUGGUCAAGGGAAUGCAAAAUGAAAUAUCCUAAACAGACCUUGGGGUAUGAAGAUAAACAUACAUAAAAAUAUACGAGUAUGCAAGACUUCAAGGAUACGAGCAUACUAAGACCAAGGGAAAUAGGGAUGGUCAAAUGGUAUAAAUUCAAUGAUGGAAAAAAAUCUCAAAAGACAAGAAGGUUAUGGUCAGGGGCAUCUACGAAGAUGUCGCAAGCACAAGAGUGAGAUCAGAUCUAAUAGAUUGAGAGAAGUAUAGAACAUACUAGAAUAAAAUAAUUUUGGCAAGGGGGCAUAUAGGAGCACAACAUAGAAUUAGUCGAGGUGACUAAUAGUUUGAAUCAGAAUCAAGGAUGAGGUGAAGUAAUAAUCAAUAAGUCCUUAAAACGGCCAAUGCUACUCUAGGAUAGCGGUCCUACAGUCAGCAAGGCUUUGAUACCACUUAUGUCACACCCGGUUUUGAAGGUAAACCGAAUGCGAACCAUGUACGUGCCAGGAUCAGAAAUUCACGUACACAGCGAUUACAUAAAUGACUCAUCAUAGCACAAUGCUUCGAAUAACAAUAAAGAUAAGUAAUAAUAUGAAAGACUAGAGUCAUUUACAUAAUAUAAUCAAAGUACACAGAACAGAAACGUAGCCAACGUAAAUAAACCCACCACAGGCAGCUGACUGGGGGAGGUCGCUAGCCUAAUCCUCGAACUCGUCGAAGUCCUGGAACUCCUGGAGAUUCGCCUUGACGCCUUCUUCUUUACCUGAGCAUAGAUUGCACCAAAGGCAACCUGGUGUUUUGUGAAAGCAAGGGUGAGUACACAUCAACGUACUCAGCAAAUGUCCCGUUUGGCUGUAGUGGACUAGCUUUAUUUGGGGUUAAGGUCAAGCAGUUGCUUUUAGUUGGUCAGGUUAUUAUUACUCAUUGAGAGCCAGGUUUUAACAUUAACCCAAGUUAUUAACCCAAAGCACCCUUUCCAAACGGAAAGAAUACCACUUACCAUUACCAUAGUCAUAACCAUCAUCCUUGUCACCACCUGUAAACCAACCAUCCCUGAUCAAGUAUCUCUAAUCAAAGAGGAUCCCAAGGCUGCUCUUAACCGUGAGCACGGCUGAUAUAUCAGUUUCCUUACCCUCUGCAGAGGUCGCACACUUUACCCACAAGUCGUGAUUCCCAUUCUGCCCGGAGAUCAUGACUCUCCAUUGAUCACUACCAAGGUGACCUAGCAGGGUCUCACUACGUAGCCUUUACAAAGAUUCCUUAGAGGUCAUAGCCGCCCGUUAGGUUUCUCCAGUUUGAUAAACACAGUACCUCUCCCCGAAGGAGGGUGACUAACAAAAGCAAAACGAAAGAACCUCGGCACCCAGCCUCGGCAGAGCAAGCACUGUGCCUGGACCCCAUUGACGGCAUGACGGCGAAGCAACUACACCUCUAGUUCCUCUAAUUAAUUAGCUAAGGGCAUCCCAUUUCACCCUCAUGGUUGCACUGUUAUCCCGGGUGGUCUCUCAACGAACAGGUCCUUACGGAGAGGUACUCGGGAAACAGCCCGAGUCCCCUAAAUGCCACAAGUAUAUCAUCAUGUCCAGAAUAAAAUCAUAGUAUCAUCAUUGUAUCUCAUCAUGUUCAUUGAUUAAAGUAAAGCAAUAGCAUGAAGCUAACCAUAGUAGCCCAAAAGGUAAUCAAGGGUGAGGUAAAUACAAAGCUAGUCAAUCCUUAAGUUGAUCAUGGUAUGCGGUUGAUGAAUUAUAAAGUAAAUGGGACAUAAUAGGUCAGAG
rnacentral:lncRNA from 1 species